GGACUACUAGGGUUUCUAAUCCCGUUUGCUCCCCUGGCUUUCGCGCCUCAGCGUCAGAAGAGGUCCAGCAGAUCGCUUUCGCCACCGGCGUUCCUUCCGAUAUCUACGCAUUUCACCGCUCCACCGGAAGUUCCAUCUGCCCCUACCUCCCUCCAGCCCGCCAGUAUCAGCAGCCAUUUUCCGGUUGAGCCGAAAGAUUUCACCACUGACUUGGCAAGCCGCCUACGCGCCCUUUAAGCCCAGUGAAUCCGAACAACGUUUGCACGGUUCGUCUUACCGCGGCUGCUGGCAC
rnacentral:rRNA from 3 species